CACAUAUGCAGGGUGGGGUUUGACCUCUUCUCCCAGGUAGCUAGUGACAGAACAAAGACAGACUGGAGCUGUGCCAGGGGAGGGUCAGGCUGGAUAGAAUAGGAAUUUCUUCACUGAAGGGGUUGUUCAUCACUGGAAUAGACGGCCCAGGGAGUGGAGUCACCAUCACUGGGAACCUAGUACAGCUCAUCUCACAGCGUGGCAUUGCUGGGUGUAUCUGUGACAAAUAGCCAACAGCAUAAAAUGCAUGGAGUUAAUAUUACUGAGGUUGAACAGUUCCACAUUGCUUUCAUGGCAAAAUUAAUCAGGGAUUUUGGAGGCCUCUUGUUUUCAAGGGCAAAUAGAAUGUCUGCUGUGUUUGUGGAAGACUUGAUACUGAGUGCUCAGGAAUAGGGACUUGGAAAUCUUGUGUCCAGAGAAGAAAAUUCACAUGAGGCUGAAGGAGAUAAGGCUCCAGGGUUUGGAAGAGAUGAGCAGGAAGGAAUGUAUAGACCCCCUCCAGUUCGGGGCCCUCACAAACCAGGGACAUGCAGCACAGGCUGGGUGGGGAUGUUAGAGCCUGCCCUGGCUGUGGGGUGCCUGACUGCACUGAGCCUAACACAGGGCUCUGGCCUCCUUUGCCGUCAUCCAGGAGAAGGAUGAAGGAAUGGAGUGGUGGUAGACACUAGAAUCUGGACAGAAGUUGAAAUUUGAUCUGCAGAGUAUUUUUAUCCUACAUUUUGACUACCUUUCAGAAAAAAUAGUGUAGAUUCUGUAGGCAGAUGGACACAACAGCACUGCAAAGUGUGAAUUUCUUCCGGCUGUCUUAAUGGAGUGUUGAUUUUAAAACCUAAUUUCAUUGCUGCUUGCUAUGCAGUUAGCACACAGUGCAUACAUUUGGUUAGUUCGGCUGUGCGAUGCCAUACUUUGUUUUGGGGUGGAUGUCACUAUUGACACUUCAAUCAAAACAUCUUUGUAAGAGAGAACUGAUUCCAAGGCAUCUGCUUAUAAAUGAGUGGUGCUGGUGAUGUCUGGAUCUUAGUACCACAAAGUCCUCCUUGAAACCACUCGCUCUUCCGUCUUCCCAGAGGAUCCCAGAAGAAAGGCUUUUAGCCUUAUGCGAUGAGAAAUAGAGUGAUUCCUUAAGGUCUUCAACUUCCAUAUCCAUGUCCUGUUGAUAUAACUUGGGAAUGAGCUCAUGAGAUAAAACCAGUAAAUGUGGCCUCUGAGGAUUUUGGCCCUGAGUCCAGUGAAGUAUUUCUAAGUAUGCUUAACUCCAGGCACAUGACUGCUCCAGCAAACAUUUGGAAGACUUUCUACAGGCUCAAAGGAUUAGCAAGCCAUCUCUCCACACUGCCCAGAUUCCCCCUCUGCCUCCACCAGCUCUCUCUAUGUGGCCAAAGAGAUGGUUAUUCAAUCUGUGAAGUAUGGGACAAUCCAUAUUCACAUUAUCCCAAGGGAAGCUCUUUGAAAGAAUUGUGACCUCUUU